rnacentral:rRNA from 1 species
UGAACGCUGGCGGUAGGCCUAACACAUGCAAGUCGAACGGCAGCACAGCAAGAGCUUGCUCUUACGGGUGGCGAGUGGCGGACGGGUGAGGAAUACAUCGGAAUCUACUUUUUCGUGGGGGAUAACGUAGGGAAACUUACGCUAAUACCGCAUACGACCUACGGGUGAAAGCAGGGGAUCUUCGGACCUUGCGCGAUUGAAUGAGCCGAUGUCGGAUUAGCUAGUUGGCGGGGUAAAGGCCCACCAAGGCGACGAUCCGUAGCUGGUCUGAGAGGAUGAUCAGCCACACUGGAACUGAGACACGGUCCAGACUCCUACGGGAGGCAGCAGUGGGGAAUAUUGGACAAUGGGCGCAAGCCUGAUCCAGCCAUACCGCGUGGGUGAAGAAGGCCUUCGGGUUGUAAAGCCCUUUUGUUGGGAAAGAAAAGCAGCAGGUUAAUACCCCGCUGUUCUGACGGUACCCAAAGAAUAAGCACCGGCUAACUUCGUG